rnacentral:rRNA from 1 species
UACGUAGGGGGCAAGCGUUGUUCGGAAUUACUGGGCGUAAAGGGCUCGUAGGCGGCCAACUAAGUCAGACGUGAAAUCCCUCGGCUUAACCGGGGAACUGCGUCUGAUACUGGAUGGCUUGAGUGUGGGAGAGGGAUGCGGAAUUCCAGGUGUAGCGGUGAAAUGCGUAGAUAUCUGGAGGAACACCGGUGGCGAAGGCGGCAUCCUGGACCACGACUGACGCUGAGUGAGCGAAAGCCAGGGGAGCAAACGGG